rnacentral:rRNA from 1 species
UAGUCAUAUGCUUGUCUUAAAGAUUAAGCCAUGCAUGUCUAAGUAUAAGCAUUUAUACUGUGAAACUGCGAAUGGCUCAUUAAACCAGUUAUUGUUUAUUUGAUAGUACCAACCACUUGGAUAACUGUAGUAAUUCUAGAGCUAAUACAUGCUAAAAGUCCCGACUGGUAACGGAAGGGAUGUAUUUACCAGCAUUAAAACCAAUGCAGGGUCCCCCCUGGUUUUCUGCUGAGGCAUGGUAACUGCUCGAAUCGUAUGGCCUUGUGCCGACGAUGAUUCAUUCAAAUUUCUGACCUAUCAACUUUGGAUUGUAGUGUAUUGGACUACAAUGGUUUUGACGGGUAACGGAGAAUUAGGGUUCGGUUCCGGAGAGGGAGCCUGAGAAAUGGCUACCACUUCCAAGGAAGGCAGCAGGCGCGUAAAUUACCCACUGGCGAUACGCCGAGGUAGUGACAAUAAAUAACAAUGCGGGCGGUGACAAGCCGCUCGCAAUUGGAAUGRGUACAAUCUAAACCCCUUAACGAGGAACAAUU